GAGGGGAGAUUGGGGGAAAUAUGAGUAGGAAAUAAUUAUUUCCAAUUCGCAGUGGCUAAGACUAGAAAAAUCUAGUCACUUUUUUUUCCUGCUAUUUUUCCCCUCUGUCCUAUAGGAGUUGCCCUCAGAGUGUCUACUUUUCAAUCUACCAUUUAAUAAGGAAUUAUUUUUCCAACAAAGAAAAUGCGAAGCUGUUUCAUAUCUAGGCUUAAACUACAGACGGAUAAAAUAUAAAAGUGUAAGAAGUAGAAAAAUAAUCUACAAAGAUGCAUACAAACAGCAAAACUGACCAAAAUACAUACUUUUGCAUGAACACUCAAUAUGUCCUAAAAUAGAGAGAACUCAGUUCUAGAAAAAGAAAUUCGUAUCAUCAUAUCCAAGAGCUCUUCGCUUCCAGCCCCUCACUGACAGCUAAAAGUUGGUUAUAAAACAGGCACUGGGGAACCAGACAGAGUGGUGUGCUCUUUUUGAACAAAACCCCAGUGUCAGCCAAGAACUGAAAUCAGUUCUGGCCUCAUACUGGGAAAAUGUGCUUUAAAUUUGGCUGAGGUUCUUUUCACCCAUGGUCAAGGAGAGAGUAUGCUAGUGAUCUGGGCUUUGGCAUUUCCACUGCACCCUGACAGGCAGCUCUUUUUAAACACAUCCUUGAGGGAUUUAGACAAAGUUCUGUGUAUGACUGUAGCUUCGCUAGAAAUCCUAACAGUUCCUGGAAAAGUAUAUGCUCACUGAGUAAAACACAGUGGCAGCAGGCAUGAGUGAUUAGCUGGGUGCUAACUCUGCAUCAGGAAUGUUCAUUUUAUGCUUCAAAUGCUACUUUCAUCUUUGAUCACAAAGGAUAUUUCUUUAAACAUUCCUUUCCAUAACACCUGUAACCUUUCUGUUGGGCAUGGAAGACAAAACAGAGGGAAAAAAUAGGUGUUUUAAGCAAGUUAUCACCAUGUAUCACCAGUAAAACUGGUAAUAAUCACUGAACACUUGAUCCGAUUUCUUCUAAUCAUUUAAUAAAAUUUAAACAUAUGUAGCCAUUACUCAUCUAUGUUAUAAAAACUUCUGUCCUAAUUAUGCACAUCAUCCUUUGAAAUCUUACUUCAAGACUAAAAGUAUCAACUUAGAUGAAAGGCCACGUGUGCACCAUUAUACUUCACUUAUGACAAAAUGUGACUAACUGUGGGGUUAAUCUUACUUUCUCAGGGUCGAGGUCACCCUAUAUGUUUAUUUUUUUCCAAAAGAGAAAAUGCUGAAAUAGCUUCAAAAUCCUUACAUGGCAGAGGGCAAACUUAGGCUGCUGUUUGAAAUUACCCAAGACCCAUCAAAUAAGAGGAAACCACAGAGGGAAUAAGGAAAACCAGGAAUAAACAUAUUCCUACUUUUUGGAAAACAACUCUGUACAUAAAAUCUGAAGAUUCUAACACUAGAAAACAGUUUCUUUGGGAAACCAAUUUCUAGUUUAUUUUUAAAAUUCCAACAAAAAUUAUAUUAACAUAAGGAUAAGUUCUAAAAUGUUAUGAAAGGGCCCUGUGCUUAUUUGGAUACACUGAAAAUGUAAAUAAAUCUCAUUUACUGGCAUUUCUCUCUCUGCCUGUUACCGUCAACUUUUUUAAAAAAAAAGAAGAAAAAAAAAAUACAAUCUAUACACAUUUCUGGUUGAUGUGCCCUGUCACCUCACACACAUGCCCAUCAGGACAGGGACAGGGCUGUGACAAAACCCACUUGGCCAUGAGCAAGUGGCGAAGAGCUGUGUUCUCACUACAGAGACUUCUCCAGCCCCUCCCAUAGGGGCAAAUGCCUAGGAGAGGCCCCUGGGAUCAUGCAGUGCUUUUAAUAUUCCCAUGUUUCUGGCCAAAGGAAAAAUACUACCAUGAAGGCUGGUGGUAACCUUAUACUAUAACAAAGAAAGGGAAAGGCGGAGUUCCUGUUGUGGCUCAGCAGUAAUGAGCCUGACUAGUAUCUAUAAGGAUCAGGGUUCGAUCCCUGGCCUCCCUCAGUGGGUUUAGGAUCUGGUGUUGCCUAGAGCUGUGGUACAGGUCGCAGAUGCAGCUCAGAUCCUCUGUUUUGGUGGCUGUGGCAUAGGCUGGCAGCUGUAGCUCCAAUUCGACCCCUAGCCUGGGAACUUCCAUAUGCCACAGGUACAGCCCUAAAAAGAAAAAAAUAAUAAUAAAAAAUUAAAAAUUAAAAAAAUAAAAGAAUGCAGAAUAGCUUGCUGCUGAAGCUUGCUUUCUUCAAUCUGCAAACUCAGAACAAGCAGAAUAGACAAUCUGAAACACUAAACCCUUAACUAGCCUUGCCAGAGGGCUUGGCGGAAGCUCUGUGUAGAUGGGCUCUUAUUAUCCCCUUGGCCAGGCCUCUUUGCUGGCAAAAAGUAUAACUGAACAAACAGAGAGACAAGGUCUGCAAUGCCUCGGCAUUUAGAAAAAUAUGACAGUGGGAAGAAUGAAGAUCUGAGGUCUAAAUCCUUUAAACUGAAAUACUCUUUGCUCCAUACAAGAAACCUGGCAACCUCAGUCCACUGUGUUUUAUGGCAACACUCUUUAGAUACUCUGCUUAAUACAGGUACUCUGGAAUAGGACUACAAAGACCCAAUGACAAUACACCGCAAACCAGAGCCUCAGUCUCCAAAUGAGUUGAGUCAGUGGCCUGAGAAAACAACAUAUAUGAAAAAGAUGCCAGACCAGCUUUUGCUGAACAAAGGAUUCAUGGCUUUUGCAAGUGUUUGUCAUCUAAACUCAACUUCCAAUUAUAUGACAAAAAGCAGAGUUUAUGAGAAGAGACACUUAUAACUGGCCCAUGAUGCGCCCAUCUUAUCAAAGACAAGGAAAACACGGGCUCUCUGCCAGUGCAUGAACACUUUUUAUCCAAGUCUUUGAUUUCCAUGUGUUCAAUCCAUUUUCUCAUGUGUAAUCCCGGACUAGAAGGAGUUUCAUAAGUACUAGCCACAGAAUACAAUUUAAAGUCACCCUACAGGGCCAGUUAAAUGUUCUUCCAUUACAAAGUAUUUAUUUAAUGAUUUUUUUUCCAUUACAGUUGAUUUGCAGUAUUCUGUCGAUUUCUACUGUACAGCAAAGUGACCCAGUUAUACAUACAUAUAUUUUUUUUUCUUUUCCUCACAUUAUCCUCCAGCAUGUUCCAUCACAAACGACUAGAUAUAGUUCCCUGUGUUGUACAGCAGGAUCUUAUCCACUCCAAAUACAAUAGUCUGUAUCUAGUAAGCCCAGACUCCCAGUCUAUCCCACUCCCUCCACCUCCUCCUCGGCAACCACAAGUCUUUUCUCCAAGUCCAUGAGUUUCUUUUCUGUGGAAAGGUUCAUUGUGCCAUAUAUUAGAUUCUAGAUAUAAGUGAUAUCAUAUGGUAUUUGUCUUUCUCUUUCUGACUGAAUUCACUUUGUAUGAGUCUCUAGUUCCAUCCAUGUUGCUGCAAAUGGCAUUAUUUUUGUUCUUUGUAUGGCUGAGUAGUAUUCCAUUGUGCCUUCUUAAUCCAUUCAUCCGUCAGGGGACAUUUAGGCUGUUUCCAUGUCUUGACUAUUGUGAAUAGGACUGCAAUGAAUGUACAGCUGUAUGUAUCUUUUUCAGUGAAAGCUGUGUCUGGAUACAUGCCCACGAGUGGGACAGCUGGGUCAUAUGGUAGUUGUAGAUUAGUUUUCUGAGGUACCUCCAUACUGUUUUCCAUAGUGGUUGUACUAACUCACAUUGCCACCAACAGUGAGGGAGGGUUCCCUUUUCU
ensembl:lncRNA